rnacentral:rRNA from 1 species
AUUGAACGCUGGCGGAAUGCUUUACACAUGCAAGUCGAACGGCAGCACGGGUGCUUGCACCUGGUGGCGAGUGGCGAACGGGUAAGUAAUGCACCGGAACGUAUCCAAUAAUGGGGGGAUAACGCACCGAAAGGUGUGCUAAUACCGCAUACGCCCUGAGGGGGAAAGCGGGGGAUCGUAAGACCUCGCGUUAAUGGAGCGGCCGAUGCCGGAUUAGCUAGUUGGUGAGGUAAAGGCUCACCAAGGCGACGAUCCGUAGCUGGUCUGAGAGGAUGAUCCGCCACACUGGAACUGAGACACGGUCCAGACUCCUACGGGAGGCAGCAGUGGGGAAUUUGGACAAUGGGCGCAAGCCUGAUCCAGCCAUGCCGCGUGAGUGAAG